UUUGAUUAGGGUGUUUUCUACUGCUCUGACCUAUCUCCCCAAACACAACUGCAAUUGCAAAGGCAGACUCAGUCAUCUAUCUGUGCAGAUGUUAGACUCUAUCCAGUGGAUUUGCAAGUGAGCACUGGAAAAGCACAAGACUGGAGUGAGGCUUCAUUAAAAAUCAGUCCCAGCUGAGAUGCCAAGCUGGCUCCGGUUGCCCAGAGUCUUUCUGGGAAUCUCAGCCCUUAAAGACACAGUCUCCAAUACCACAGGAGGAGAGAAUGUCAGCAAGACCGUGGAGGCAAAACAUUAAGAUAACAAGAGUUACGGUAACAGCAAAAACAAGAAUAAACCUUCAAUAACUGGCAUCUCAGAACCCAGAACUUUGAAGCCAUUAGACGUUGCAUUUCAAAAAGUGCCUUCCCCUCACAGGAUUUCAAAGUACUUUACAGACAUUAAUGAGUUACGACCCACAUUAUAAUAAUAAUCUUAUUAGAUUUAGAUGACCUAAGCCUUAUGAAUUGGAGCAGUGCCUGAAAAAUCUCUGAGACUUUGAUGAUCUCCAGGCGACUAUUUUACUCUAUGGGUGGCCUAAAAUGAAUCCUUCAGAACUGGUGACUUCAGGAUGAAACAAAGAGGAAGAGGAAAAACAGCAGGGUAAGGGGGGAGAACCCUAUCUGGAGGUGCACAUCAAAAAUUUGCUCCACUAUAUUUGGGAGUCAUAGAAGACAUCCUGGCAUCCUUCACUGGAAAAGUAAAAGGACAACAAUUUGUUUCAUGAAAAAGGUGUCUCAACCAACCGUGGUUGAAAACACUGGAGUGGACUUUGGGUGAGAAGCUUCUUUAGACAAGAGAAUAAUUUGUUAGUUAAGUUUAAUCUUUAGAAAAUGUGUUAUAAUUUUGUUUUAUAUUUGUGGGUUGGUGUGUGCCUUUUGCUACCUGUACAGAAAGAGCAAGGCCUACAAGGGCCUGGAAGUGCUCAUUCUGCCAGAGGCUUUUGGUUUUAGGGAGCUGUGCAGCAGGCAUACAUAAGACUGCUUCAAACAUAGGACAGUGGUGGUGAGGUA